GUGUCAGCCGCCGCGGUAAUACGUAGGUGGCGAGCGUUGUCCGGAAUCACUGGGCGUAAAGGGCGCGUAGGCGGCAAUACAAGUCGCAUGUGAAAGACCAGGGCUCAACCCUGGGGUGUCAUGCGAAACUGUAUGGCUUGAGUGCAGUAGAGGAAAGCGGAAUUCCUGGUGUAGCGGUAAAAUGCGUAGAGAUCAGGAGGAACACCGGUGGCGAAGGCGGCUUUCUGGGCUGCAACUGACGCUGAGGCGCGAAAGCGUGGGGAGCAAACAGGAUUAGAUACCCCCGUAGUCC
rnacentral:rRNA from 1 species